rnacentral:misc_RNA from 1 species
GCCACUAUACAACACUCGGUUAUCCCAUCUACCAGUCAACCGUAAACAACUGCACUCAGUCAACCUUGUCAUCAUCGUCAUCAUCUUCAUCCUCAAUUUCAUCAGUUCUCUCCCAACACGAUUCUCUCAAACACUUGAACACGACGUCGUUUAUCCACCCAAAGCACCCAUAUUCGCCACAACACAUCUCUCUCAAUCUCCCGAAAAACCCUUUAUCUCCAAUCUCAGGCGGGCUCGACAUCGGUUGCAAGUAAGCCAAAGCCGCCUGCUUAACGAGCAGGUUCUUGAUCGGGAUCUCGUACCAGCUGGAGUUGUGGGUGGGUGAGGAGAUCGUAGGAGGUGAGACCGGCAAUAGGUCCUUGAGGCUGGGGUAGGGGACGGGCUGUAUGGCUAUCAUCGGAAAUUUGAAAAGAAGGAUUGAAGCCGUUGUGGAAGAGAAAGCUGGAUUUCAAUUCGACAUUAUUAGUGUCUGUCACCUUGGGGUUUUUGGUUGGUGCUGUAACUGUUUCCAUAAUGAAUUAGCGGAGAAUUCAAAGGAAGGAGCAGAGAGAUUCAGACACAGAUAAGUUUUUGGUAAUAGAAUGUUAGUUUGGUGGUAGAGAAUCUAGAUAUUGAGAACAGAGCUUAGUACUUGGUUUGUAAUGCGAGUUGGGAC